AAUGAACGCUGGCGGCGUGCUUAACACAUGCAAGUCGAACGGCAGCGGGGGAGAAGCUUGCUUUUCCUGCCGGCGAGUGGCGAACGGGUGAGUAAUACAUCGGAACGUGCCCUGUAGUGGGGGAUAACUAGUCGAAAGAUUAGCUAAUACCGCAUACGACCUGAGGGUGAAAGUGGGGGACCGCAAGGCCUCAUGCUAUAGGAGCGGCCGAUGUCUGAUUAGCUAGUUGGUGGGGUAAAGGCCUACCAAGGCGACGAUCAGUAGCUGGUCUGGAAGGACAAUCAGCCACACUGGGACUGAGAAACGGCCCAGACUCCUACGGGAGGCAGAAGGGGGGAAUUUUGGACAAUGGGCGAAAGCCUGAUCCAGCAAUGCCGCGUGUGUGAAGAAGGCCUUCGGGUUGUAAAGCACUUUUGUCCGGAAAGAAAUGGCUCUGGUUAAUACCUGGGGUCGAUGACGGUACCGGAAGAAUAAGGACCGGCUAACUACGUGCCAGCCGCCGCGGUAACAC
rnacentral:rRNA from 1 species